ensembl:lncRNA
CAACUCGCCCUUUGGAAAGAAGACUGCACGUUGUGCCUUUCAGCUCUAGGGCAAUGUAGAAUACCAGAGCAGAAGUUCUACUUCAGCCAGAUCAGGCCUGCAAAGAAACUGCUUUUCACAGGUCUUUGUAAGAGAUGUUCCCGGUAGGCUGUAAGAGCACUGUGCAGAGCGAGUUCUUUCUUAGCUUCCCAAAGAGCUGGAAGCAAGGUGGUUUCUGGCCCAACUUGCCCUUUGGAAAGAAGACUGCACGUCUUGCCUUUCAGCUCUAGGGCAAUGUAGAACACCCAGAGCAGAAGUUCUACUUCAGCCAGAUCAGGCCUGCAAAGAAACUGCGUUUCACAGGCCUUUGUAAGAGAUGUCCCAGUAGGCUGUAAGAGCACUCUGCAGAGCGAGUUGUUAUUAAGCUUCCCAAAGAGAUGGAAGCAAGAUGCUUUGGGGUCCAGCUCGCCCUUUGGAAAAAAGACUGCACUUUCUGCCUUGCAGCUCUAGGCAAAUGUGGCACAACCAGAGCAGAAGUUCUACUUCAGCCAGAUCAGGCCUGCAAAGAAACUGCGUUUCACAGGCCUUUGUAAGAGAUGUUCCCGGUAGGCUGUAAGAGCGUUGUGCAGAGUGACUUGAUUCUUAGCUUCCCAAAGAGCUGGAAGAAAGAUGCUCUGGGGACCACCUCGCCGUUUGCAAAGAAGACAGCACUUUGUGACUUGCAGCUCUAGGGCAAUGUAGCACACCCAGAGCAGAAGUUCUACUUCAGCCAGAUCAGGCCUGCAAAGAAAUUGCGUUUCACAGGCCUUUGUCAGAGAUGUCCCGGUAGGCUGUAAGAGCACUGUGCAGAGCGAGAUGUUAUUACGCUUCCCAAAGAGCUGGAAGCAAGAUGCUUUGGGGCCCAACUCGCCCUUUGGAAAGAAGCCUGCACGUUGUGCCUUGCAGCACUAGGGCAAUGUAGGACACCCAGAGCAGAAGUUCUACUUCAGCCAGAUCAGGCCUGCAAAGAAACUGCAUUUCACAGGCCUUUGUAAGAGAUGUUCCUGGUAGGCUGUAAGAGCACUGUGGAGAGCGAGUUGUUUCUUAGAUUCCCACCACCUUGGAACUUCUACUCAAAGCCAUGACCUACAUUGCUCCAGAGGUGCAAGUGACAAAGCUAUGAGUCAUUGCCUCCAAAGGAGACAAGCCACAAACAGUCUUGCUUCCAGCUCUGGGAAGCUAAGAAACAACUGGCUCUCCAUAGUGCUCUUAUAUCUACCGGGAACAUAUCUCACAAAGGCCUGUGAAAUGCAGUUUCUUUCCAGCCCUGAUAUCACUGAAGUAGAAAUUCUGCUCUGCCGUGUCCUACAUUGCCCUAGACAUGCAAGGCACAAUUUCCUGGCUUGUUUCCUCAAGGGAAGGCAGGCCACAAAGCGUCUUGCUUCCACUCACUGGGAAGCUAAGAAACAACUCGCUCUCCACAGUUCUCUUGCAGCCGACCAGGAACAUCUCUCUCAGGGGCCUGUGAAACACAGUUUCUUCUCAGACCUGAUCUCUCUGAAGAAGAACUUCGGCUCUUCCGUGUCCUACAUUGCUCUAGAUAGGCAAAGCACAAAGCCCUGCCUAUUUUCCUCAAGGGGAGACAGGACACAUAAGUCUUGCUGCCAGCUCUUUGGGAAGCUAAGAAACAACUCGCUCUCCAAGGUGCUCUUGCAGCCUACCUGG